CUGCUUGCUGCUCAUUUAUUGUGUCCACCUCUUCAUUCUUCAAAGCUGCAAGACAAUGGAUCCCAGGUAUUGAGGUAAAAAAUCCUGCAACAUUUCUGCAUUCCAGCAAGAGACUAUGAGCUACUCUCAUCUCAGGUAAGAAUGGAACUGCUUCACCAGAUGCAUGUGUUAGAGCAUGGAUUGUGCUGCUAACCUGUGUGGAGUAGCGUAUGUGAGCACCGCUAACCUGCCUGCAUAUGGAGUUUCCAGGCACCAGGCACCAAACAGAGGUAUAAAGCAUCUGGACGGUCUUUGCUGAUUUUGCAGGAAAGAGGGAGAAGUGACAACAGAAGCAGAAAUUACAGUGAUGUGAGCCGAAGAAUGAGGCAGCCCCUGCAAACCCAGGAGGCAAGGAGAGGGAUUCUUCCCUGAAGACUCCAGGACCCAGCCCUGCCCUCACCUUGAUGGUAGUCCUGUAAAACUCAUUUCAGAAUUACAGUCUCCAAAACUAUUGCUGUAUUAAUUUGUGUUGUUUUAAGCCACUAGUUUUGUGGCCAUUUGCUAACAGCAGCCAUAGGAAGUUAAUACAGAACUGAAAGUCUUACUACUGGGCACACCAGGAUUUCCCUGAGAAAUACCAUAGAGAAAAGGGUCUUGUAAUCAAAUAUAUUGGCCACUGUGACAUCUCCCUCUUGGAGAUUCAAAACAGCAUCUUAGGCUCUGAGGAGACAUAAAAUAAAGAAUCUGUUUAACUCA
rnacentral:lncRNA from 1 species